rnacentral:rRNA from 1 species
UACAUGGGGUGCAAACGUUGCUCGGAAUUAUUGGGCGUAAAGCGCGCGUAGGCGGUUACUUAAGUCGGAUGUGAAAGCCCUCGGCUUAACUGAGGAAGUGCACCCGAAACUGAGUAGCUAGAGUACGAAAGAGGGUCGCGGAAUUCCCGGUGUAGAGGUGAAAUUCGUAGAUGUCGGGAGGAACACCGGUGGCGAAGGCGGCGACCUGGGUCGAGACUGACGCUGAGGCGCGAAAGCGUGGGGAGCAAACAGG